CCCAGACUCCUACGGGAGGCAGCAGUGGGGAAUAUUGCACAAUGGGGGAAACCCUGAUGCAGCGACGCCGCGUGAGCGAUGAAGUAUUUCGGUAUGUAAAGCUCUCUCAGCAGGGAAGAAGAUGACGGUACCUGACUAAGAAGCCCCGGCUAACUACGUGCCAGCAGCCGCGGUAAUACGUAGGGGGCAAGCGUUAUCUGGAUUCACUGGGUGUAAAGGGAGCGUAGACGGCGACGCAAGUCUGGAGUGAAAGCCCGGGGCCCAACCCCGGGACUGCUCUGGAAACUGCGUCGCUGGAGUACGGGAGGGGCAGGCGGAAUUCCUGGGGUAGCGGUGAAAUGCGUAGAUAUCAGGAGGAACACCGGCGGCGAAGGCGGCCUGCUGGACCGUGACUGACGUUGAGGCUCGAGAGCGUGGGGAGCAAACAGGAUUAGAUACCCCAGUA
rnacentral:rRNA from 1 species